AAAUUAGAGAAAGUCAAAUGAAAAAAUCACACUCAGUUUCUACCUAGACCUAAUCUCUCAAUCCAAAUCCAUAAUCACGCCUCUGCUUCUUUCUCUCACACCCAGUUUCUCAGUUGCCUCUCCGUCAAUCUUUCCCUCUCUCUCUCUCUCCAUCCAUCACGCGAGUUGCUAGAGCACUCUUUCCAUUACAUUGAGUCGCUGGAGCACGCAGGCCUGAGUCAUGCCAAUACGAGUCACGGUGCUCUGUCCCCCUCACGCGAGUCACGGUGGUAUCUUCCCUGCUGGAAGCAAGAACCUAGGAAAGAACAUCUCUAUGAGUCUGCCAACAAUUUCAGAGAGAGUUCCAACUCCAACACCCAGCUUUCACCUCAUGCAAAUUUUACUGGGACAACGUCAUAUGUGGUACCAAAGUCGGAAACCAUCUUGAAAUGUGAUGAUUCCAUUGAACAUAUUAUGCACGAACAACGUUUAGGAGAAAUGGAUGAACUUGAGGCAGAACUUGCAGUUGAGUUUGAACGUUUGCAAUUCAGCUUGGAUACAGAACAGACUCAGCACCAAUGUUCAAAGGAUGUUAUGGACACUGCUUCUUCAGUAAGUCAGAGCCUGAGUUAUGGGGAGCUGACAGUGAGAGACGAUUGUGUACUUGAUGAGGAAAUAUUGUUGAUCUUAAGGUCCUCUUGAUUGGAGAAGAGGUGGGAAAUUUGUAUUUAUUUUUUCUUAGAGCUCUUUCAUUCUUUUUGUUCUUCAUUUUUCUUCAAAUUGUUUUUCAUUCCAGGUUGGAGAAUACCAAGAAGCAUACAAGCAUAGAUAUUCAAAGGUCUUUUGGACAAGUAUGGCCCUGAUAGAAUUCUUGAUACUCACAGAGUCAGAACAAAAAACGUCCAUUUUUUGCUCUGAUGUUUCAAAUUGGUGAAGAUGCUCUGUAUCAUAAUUUGAGCAAACCGAUGCCACAAUGGAAACAAGAGUAUAAUGAAUCAUGGAUUGGAGGAUGGAGCUAUCUUCAAACUUUCAUUGUGUGUAUUUGAUUAUGUUUUGUUGCUCACUUUUUAAGUAAAGGACUAGUAGUUUGUCAUAUCUUUUUGUAGACUUCAAAACUUCAACUAAGAAUGUUACGAAGUGGUGAUAGUUAUGGUUUGAAUUGAAUAUUGUGAAUGAUUUGAAUUAGUUAUUGUUCAAUGUUAUAAUUCUCAUAGUUUGUGAUA